UGGAAGUAAAAGUCGUAACAAGGUCUCCGUAGGUGAACCUGCGGAGGGAUCAUUACACAAAAAAUAUGAAGGCUGCACGCGGCUGUGUCUCCGGGCCAGUUUGCUGAGGCUGAAUUAUUUUUCACCCAUGUCUUUUGCGCACUUGUUGUUUCCUGGGCGAGUUCGCUCGCCACCAGGACCACACCAUAAACCUUUUUUAUGCAGUUGCAAUCAGCGUCAGUAUAACAAAUGUAAAUCAUUUACAACUUUCAACAACGGAUCUCUUGGUUCUGGCAUCGAUGAAGAACGCAGCGAAAUGCGAUACGUAGUGUGAAUUGCAGAAUUCAGUGAAUCAUCGAAUCUUUGAACGCACGUUGCGCCCUUUGGUAUUCCAAAGGGCAUGCCUGUUCGAGCGUCAUUUGUACCCUCAAGCUUUGCUUGGUGUUGGGCGUUUUGUCUUUGCAUCAAAGACUCGCCUUAAAACGAUUGGCAGCCGGCCUACUGGUUUCGGAGCGCAGCACAUUUUUGCGCUUGCAAUCAGCAAGAGGUCGGCAAUCCAUCAAGUCCAUUUCUCACUUUUGACCUCGGAUCAGGUAGGGAUACCCGCUGAACUUAAGCAUAUCAAUAAGCGGAGGA
rnacentral:rRNA from 1 species